rnacentral:lncRNA from 1 species
UUUUUUUUUUUUGUCUUUUUUAUGCUAUUUCUUGGGCCGCUCCCGCGGCAUAUGGAGGUUCCCAGGCUAGGGGUCGAAUCGGAGCUGUAGCCACUGGCCUUCGCCAGAGCCACAGCAACGCGGGAUCCAAGCCGCGUCUGCAGCCUACACCACAGCUCAUGGCAACGCCGGAGCCUCAACCCACUGAGCAAGGGCAGGGACCGAACCCGCAACCUUAUGGUUCCUAGUCGGAUUCGUUAACCACUGCGCCACGACAGGAACUCCCGAAUCAGUUUUCUUAUUAGCAAAAUGUUAGUAAGACAGUAAUAAGAGAAAAAUAUAUUUCCCUAGGACAUGUUCUGUUAAUAAAUCACCUAAGAGAUCCCAGAAAAGAGGAAAAGAGCUAUCAUUUUUAUUCAGGCAUGGCACUGUGAAAUUUAAGGUAUAGUGAUAUCUACUGCUUGAGUCUAACAAUUGUCUUAACCAUUGGCAAGAUUUGCAGCUCAAAGGAGUGGAAGAGGUCUCUCUUUGUAUAUAAUAUACAAAGUUGCUAGAAAGUUUCAAGACGUUUAGUUUCCCCUGAAAUCUUAAGGACAUCACUUACCCAUCAGCUACUCUGAAGCUACCGGUCAGCAUCCUCAGAAUUUACCUUUCUUUAAAAAGGCAUAGAAGUGCUUAUAGAUGCUGUUCAUCUUAUUUCAUAAAACAGACCCAAGCUUCUCUCGUGGUGUAGAACAUACAAUAUAUAACACUUUACACUUGAUGGGCAGCUGUAGAUAAUACACUGUGAGGACAUUCAGAGAUGCUAACUUCUUUUAACCACAGGAGUCUAAAUCUCUGUUAAAAAGAGAACCAGAAAAGGCUGACUUAGACAUUUGACCCAGAAGAUGAUCUUCAUGCCCAGCUGAAGUUAAGAGCUUCUGCUCCCUCAGAAAGUGUGUGUCUUGAAGCAUCAUGCUGGGCACUGAGGAUGCUCAGAUAAAACAACUGGCCUCCAAUUCUCUGGCCUCUCUGAUGUUUCGGAAAGGAAUUGUUUCAAAAGAUGUACUUGGCAUAAUACCCUCAAGGUCCAUCCAUGUAGCAAAUGGCAAGAUUUCAUCUUAUGGCUGAGCAGUACUCCAUUAUACACAGAUACCACGUCUUUGUCCAUUCAUCUCUUGAUGGGCAAUUAGGUAGUUUCCCUAUCUUGGCUAUUAUAAACAACUCUGUGAUGAACAUAAGGGUGCAUAUAUCUUUUUCUAAUUAGAGGGUAUUUUGUUAAGUAAAAUCAAUCAGAUGGAGAAAGACAAGGACCCCAUGAUUCCACUCAUAUGUGGAUUUUAAAACAAAAUACAACAAAAUAGAUGAACGAACCAAACCAAGUAGAUACAGGGACCAGAGUAGUAUGCGAAGAGGAUAUGGAGGGAAGGGGGAGGGGAUGGGGAGGGUGAAACGGGUAAAGGGAAUCAACUGCAUGUUGAUGGAUGGAAACUAAACUUUUGGUGGCGAGCACGCUGUCGUCAUACAGAACUGAAAAUAGUUCCCUGUACUAGACAGCAGGCCCUUGUUCUUUAUCUAUCUUGUACUGAGCAGUUUGUAUCUGCUAAUCCCAAACUCUUAAUCUAUCCCUUCCCCUUUGGCAGCUAUAAAUUUGUUUUCUAUGUAAGUUCAUUUGCAUCAAAUUUUAGAUUCCACACAUAUGUAAUAUGAUUGGAUAUUUGUCUUGCUCUGACUUGCUUGGUAUGAUAAACUCUAGAUCCAUCCACACUGCUAUAAAUGGCAGUAUUUCAUUUUUUAUGGCUGAAUACACACACAUAUGUACACAUACAUACACCACAUCUUCUUUAUCCAUUCGUCUGUGGAUGAACACUUAAACAGUGCUGCCGUGAACACUGGGGUGCAUGGAUCUUUCAGAACCUAGUUUUCUCUAGACAUAUAUGCUCAGGAGUGGGAAACCUAGAUCAUAUGGUAAUUCUAUGUUUAGUUUUCAAGGAACCUCUGUAUUAUUUUUCCAUAAUGGCUACACCAAUUUACAUUCCCACUCACUGUAUAGGAGGGUUCCGUUUUCUCCACACCAUCUCCACCAAUUUAUUAUGUGUACAGUCUUUGGCGACUGUUCUUUGAGAACUGCAUAAAGCUCUGAAUCCUUUUCCCAAAAAAGAUACAUCUAUUCAAACCUAUACCAAAUAUGUAGUGUAAAUUUUAGGGCAUUUACAACACCCCUUUGGAGACGCUUAAGAACCUCCUAACACAGAGUAAAUGAGGAAGAAGACUAAAACUGAAACCCUGAGGGACCCCAUCACUAAAAAGACUGGCAAAGAAUGACAGUCCAGCAAAGCAUAUUAGGGAUGACUAAUGAGACAGUUAGAUGGGAAGCCAGGAGAGAAUGACAUCAUGGAUUCGAGAAAAUUACACAUGUCCAGAAAUAGGAAAUAGGCAGCACUACCCAAUGCUGUUCAGAAGUUACACGGAAUGCGAAUUAAACACAGGCCAUCGGUGUUCACUGGUCUAGAGCUGCUAGUCCAGAAGCCAGACUCUGAUAAUAAGAUGAGAAAAUGCAGAAGAAGAUUUGGAAUGCAUACAGACACAUUUGCAAGAAACCCGGGCAACAAGAGUUUGAAUGAAUAACAGAGGUAAGACAACAGAUUUUUAUUGACUGUUUACCCACAGGUUAAGGGCAAAACGUGAGCAUGCUUUUUGGUUGGAGGGAAAGAGCAGAGGAAGAAGACUGAGAGAAAGAGAAGAUGAACAUUAAUUCAGUAACCUUAGAAUUCAUCAGGCUGAUGUUGUAGAGGAGGAUGGUCGUUUUCAAUGAGAUUGAACAGAAAGAAAUCCUCUCAGCUGUAGAUAAUAUUGACUAUGAUGGAGAGAGAAGAUUGUACUGGAUGGCAUUUACCUUCUCUGUACAUUAUAAGCGAAGGUGAGAUGGUGUUAAGUGUUAAUGGCAGAGCAUAAAAGCUGACCAGGGAAAGGGCAAAGGUGGCACAACUAUUUUACGGUGUCCUUAAAAACAGAUGCCCUAUUCAGUGCUCUGGGGUGCUCUGCAGGCAUCUUAGCAGGAAAAGAUACACAGCCUUCUCAGGAGCGAGUCAAUUCUGCCCUCCUCAAACAUCCUUAGAAAACAGGUAUCCCUUUAAUGAAUAAGGAAUGGCUGACAGUUGGUAGAUAAGACAUGUAACUUUCUUAUCCAACACUCAAUACCCUUCAGCAGAGAGGGACAACACAGAAAAAUUAGUUAAUUACACUGUCAGUUGGUCGCUUGGCUCUGCAGACCACACAAAAGAAAGCAGCAAGCAAGAGGGCCAGCAGACUUCUCUGCAGCAUGUGUCAGUCUAGAUAAACGAGAGGGCUAGGUAAUCUGUGCUUUGGAUUCUACAGAUGACGUCCUCAUGUCCUAAAACCAUUCAAAUCUGAAAACAAAAAUCCCUCUCAAAUCCACAAUAAUGGCCACUGAACAACAGGGACUGGAAGGCAUAUUAUUCAGUCUCUUCUGAUGAAAGGCUGCUGAACAGGAUUCCCAGUGACGUGGGGCAUGUGAUGGGUUACAGAUGCUGUGUUUGGGUGUCAUCUGAAGGCACCUGCUAUCUAAUAAAUCACAGUAUGUUCACUUGUCCUAUUAAAACUAUAUUCUACCUUACCAGGUAUGAAUAAUUUGUAUAAAAUUGAUUGCUACAGUUCUCACUAGAAGCUCUAAUUGCAUUCCUGGUAUAACUUAAAAUGAUAACCUUAUCUUAAUUAGUAGCAUGAUGCAGAAAUGCUUUUGAAAGCCUCUGUGAAUUAACCUGCAUUUUUUUAAAGAGAAGCCCUGGGGCUUAAAAAAAAUAAUAACUCAAAAAAUUAUUCCUAUUGAAUACGUGAGCCAAUGUCAAUUUAUCAAAACCACCAAAGAAAAGAAUCGUAUCGUGAAAGACGAAGCUACAGAGCUAACGCCUCCUCUGAUCAGGCAGUUUGUAUUCCUCUUUGCAGAACCCUCCAGGAUGUAAAUCCAAGGCCUAGAUCUCUGCAGUGUCCACAGAUUCUCCACCCCCACAGAAGAGUCUGUCUCCGUUUACUCUAAUGAGACUCCCCGGCCCUAAUAAGCAGAGCCCUACAAUGAUGGAAAUGAAGUAGACGCACACGUUAGGGCUACAUUUGGACUUUGCUGGGAAUUAAUCACUAUACACACCACCUCCGGUACUCCCCUAAGUUCCACACCAGGCUGUUCUCCCAAUCAAUCCUCGUUCAAUUAAUUCUGGCCUUCCUCAUCCGUCUCAAGCUUUCUAACAUCCGUUUCUGGCCCACUCACAUUCGAAAUGUCUGAGCGAAACUCCAAAAUAAAAAGGUUUCCUGUGGGAGAGGUUAUCCUCUGUAUCUUUUCUGUAUUAUCACCCUGGUAAAGAGAUGCGCAGUGGCUCACUGAUGAUAAUCAUUAUCUAACAGAGCACACCAGGAUAUAUGAAAAUUAACAUGUCAACCACCUUAAACUAUAUGACAGCAAGACUGAAAGACGCCACCGUAAAUCAGCAUUGUAAAAAAAACCCAAAGUGGAUGUUAAAGAGUCUCCAAGGCAGUGCUUGCAAAACGAGGGGCCUACCAAUAAACACAAUGCAACCUGGCAUAUAUCCUUCGAAUGCCCAGCCAAAGAAAUUAGGUAGAGUUUAUUAUCAUCCAAAACGCUAAUGAAAGCCACCUCUAUAAACGUUAAAUACACACUAUUGUAAGAAAACUACUCUCCCAAGACUGGCCCCUGAGGUCUGCCGUUUCCCCACUUGUGGAAUAAACAAUCUUCCUAGAAUGCAAUUUGGGAUCUCCUUCUCUAAAAAUGAAUAUGGAGUAAACUUUUUUAAAAGUUUUUUUCUCCCUGCUGGAAAAAGGAGCAGUUUUGAUUUUUUUUUUUUUUUGAAAGUGAUAGUGAUUUUUUUAUACAAUUUUUUUCCUACUGUACAGCAUGGUGACCCAGUUACACAUACAUGUACACAUUCUAUUUUCUCACAUUAUUAUGUUCCAUCAUAAGUGACUAGACAUAGUUCCCAGUGCUACACAGCAGGAUCGCAUUGCUGUUCCAUUCCAAAGGCAAUAGUUUGCAUCUAUUAACCCCAAGCUCCCAAUCCACCCCACUUCCUCCCCCAUCCCCUUUGGCAACCACAAGUCUAUGCUCCAAGUCCAUGAUUUUCUUUUCUAUGGAAAGGUUCAUUUGUGCUGUAUAUUAGAUAAAAGAGCAGUUUUGAUUAAAUGUAAGUGGUCAGAGCUAGCAGUGACUAUUACACUAGGAUAAUAUCCUUAGAACUGAAUAUAAAAUUAGUAGAAAGCAAAGAAGUAUAAACACUUCUCACAUUUGAGAUUGUAGAUGGAAGUUCCAUCUAAUUUAAUUUAGGAGCAUUGAAAAUAGUAAACUUAAACAUAGAAGAAACAGGUGCAUAUUCAUUUUCAAAAAAUCUUUUUAAAGUAGUCAGUACCUUUUUUAACAGCAUUAAAACAUUUAAAAUAUCUACUAUGAGAAAGGAGCUCUAUGCUACAACUGAUGUGAAGGUAAUGGCUCUUCUAAACUAGUAAAGCAUCCUUUUAAUUUAUGACCAACUUCUCUUCAAUAAGAGAUGUCAUUUCGGAGAAGCACUAUUGUGUGGUACAUGUGGGCUUAUAUUUACAUAAGCACAUUAUCCAUAUCUUGAAGGUCCUGCAAAAGUACAGAAGACUGGGUACAUUUUCUCUUAUUUAAAACUCUAUCUCCAGGCUUGAGAGUAAGGAGAUUAAAGACUAAACAUAUAUUAGCACUGUGAAAAUGCAGCCUGAAAAACCCUGGCGGAAGAGACAUUUUAAUCAACGGAUAUCUCAAAUGGAGUGACCCCAAAUCAGUUUAACAAGACUGUUGUUCUAAAGAAGGAAAGCCCUCUGAUCAUUUAACUUGCUUUUCACUUCAUUGGUGUGACAACCACAUACUGAUGGCAUCUUCAGGUUGCAAAAUCUAAGUCUUUCUACCACGGCAGUUACAGUCUCAUUU